AGAGACAGCAGUAGCCACGGUAAUACGUAGGGUGCGAGCGUUAAUCGGAAUUACUGGGCGUAAAGCGUGCGCAGGCGGUUUUGUAAGACAGGCGUGAAAUCCCCGGGCUCAACCUGGGAAUGGCGCUUGUGACUGCAAAGCUAGAGUGCGGCAGAGGGGGAUGGAAUUCCGCGUGUAGCAGUGAAAUGCGUAGAUAUGCGGAGGAACACCGAUGGCGAAGGCAAUCCCCUGGGCCUGCACUGACGCUCAUGCACGAAAGCGUGGGGAGCAAACAGGAUUAGAUACCCCGGUAGUCCCUGUCUCUUAUAC
rnacentral:rRNA from 1 species